rnacentral:rRNA from 1 species
GGGCCCGCACAAGCGGUGGAGCAUGUGGUUUAAUUCGACGCAACGCGAAGAACCUUACCUGGGUUUGACAUGCAUCAGACAGGUGUAGAAAUACACCCUCCCUUCGGGGCUGGUGCACAGGUGCUGCAUGGCUGUCGUCAGCUCGUGUCGUGAGAUGUUGGGUUAAGUCCCGCAACGAGCGCAACCCUCGUUUUCAGUUGCCAGCGGAUAACGCCGGGCACUCUGAAGAGACUGCCGGUGGUAAGCCGGAGGAAGGUGGGGAUGACGUCAAGUCCUCAUGGCCCUUACGCCCAGGGCUACACACGUGCUACAAUGGCCGAAACAAAGGGUUCCGAUGCCGCGAGGUGGAGGUAAUCCCAAAAAAUCGGUCUCAGUUCGGACUGCAGUCUGCAACUCGACUGCACGAAGGCGGAAUCGCUAGUAAUCGCUGAUCAGCAGGCAGCGGUGAAUACGUUCCCGGGCCUU